rnacentral:rRNA from 1 species
AGAAUCAACGCUGGCGGCGUGCCUAACACAUGCAAGUCGCACGAGAAAGGGACUUCGGUCCUGAGUAAAGUGGCGCACGGGUGAGUAACACGUGAAUCAUCUACCUCCGAGUGGGGAAUAACCUAGAGAAAUCUGGGCUAAUACCGCAUAACACUUACGAGUCAAAGCAGCAAUGCGCUUGGAGAGGAGUUCGCGGCAGAUUAGUUAGUUGGCGGGGUAAUGGCCCACCAAGGCGAUGAUCGGUA